AGCAUAUGUAUAAUGUUCCUCGAAGUCCACAUAGGGUUGGCAGUGUUGCUUUGAUAUACCCAAAUCCUCACCAAGCAGAAUCCGAAGCUGGUCCAUCGCUGGAUGCUUCAGGAUCCUCGCAGGGUUGGCCUCUGUCUACUGGAGCUGGCACAAUCUCCAGCUGCCUCGGGAUCUGGAGAUAGGCACAGGUUCCCCGUGACCCGAGUACAGAUCAGAUAAGAGGUACAGACAAUGAAAUGAAAUGAAAUGGAAAAACCUAUAAAAAGGUAAGCGUGUUUAUACACUAGUAUACUGCUAUAAAAUUCUGAUGUCAUGUUUGAUAGCUAAAUAAAGCGUAUAUACAUGUAGCUAACGUGUGUGUGUCUCAAUAGUGCCCUUUUGCAUUAAACCCAUGUUUUUGGAUUUUCUGUUUGUUGUUGUGUUAGUUAUCAGAGUACUGGUAUUUUUUUAAAUGGGCGGGGCUUAAGCUGGAAAUCCAAUCAGUCCAAUCUGGCAGCACUGAUUGCUGCAGCUUCUUCUCCCUGUCUCACCGUCUCUGUCCUGAAGCAGCUCCACCUCACCUGUCCUCUGAUAUGGGUUAUGAUCAUCUAACAUUAAACUGUCCUCCACUUUAAAGCGGUUUAAAAGUCAACUCGUUUCCAUGUAACCUUACGGUCUGAUGUUGCCUAGCAACGACCCGUGUACCCGUGUUAACGUUAGCUCAGUCAGCAUUAGGUUAACAACAACAGGUGUAGCCAGAGUAUAUGAUUAUCCUGACCUGAGCUAAUCUUACUGAAUCAACCAGCUCGAAUCUCCUUGCUUUCUUUUCCUCCAUGAUGGCAUUAAAGUCAUAUAUUACCGCCCCUGGCUGUUUUAUCGGUGACGUGCACGCUCCCGGACGCGGACGCGCGCAUCGACACAGGCAGACAGGCAAAGAAAAAUUUCCAAGCCAGCGUUAUAAAGUGAAACAGUUGAAAGCCUUUCGAUAUUUUAUUUAGUUUUUUGUAUAUUUCGCGUCAUUCAUUACACUACAUAAAGAUCUGUAUUUCUGCCGAUUUGUAUCAUUAGCUUGUGGUGUUUCGAUUAAAUGCUUUUAUGUAAAAGGCCUGAGAUGAUUUUACUCAGUAUUUCUUUUCGAGACUUUUAUUUUGUCUUCCCCCGCAAUAAACCUUACCAUUUUGAGCAUGUUGUUAAGAGUUUGUUGAAGGCGUCUGAUCACACUGAUUCAGGAGAUGUGAAACAAACACGUUUCUCUGUAAAUCCUUCAAGGAAAAUCUCUGUAAACGUCGCUAUAGCUACCAAGUUGUGUACAAUUAAAAUCCAUCUACGUAUAGCAUUAAAUUGUUUCAUGGAGAAAAAGGAUUCUUAAUGUUGUGUGUAAACAUGACACCUGACAUCACCUGGCAGCAUCACCCCCUGACAUCAUCACCCUCCGACAUCGUCACCCUCUGACAUCAUCAUUCCGAUUCCGAUUCUGUUUCCUAGGGAGAGCUCAGAGAGUGACUACAGAGCACCGAUUCUACACUGCUUUAAAAUCAUACAGGCAAUUAUUUCUAUAGAUUAUAAUUACCUGUUAAGUAUUAUUAUUGUUUUUAUUCUUCUAAAUUCCAUCACUACUAGUGUCAGUAGACAAACAUGGAAGAGAAAAUUAUGGAGAACAAGAUGGAGGACCUCAAAACAUGGGUCCUUCAGAGACUCCUGAAGGAAAGAAAGUUUUUAUGCCACGAAAUCGAACUCCGCUGCGAAGACCUCAUCCAAAAACGCUGCCUGGAGAAGGAGAAAAGCAGGAUGAGAGAGAAGGACGACAAUUUGAAGGACAUGCGGGCAACUGAGAAGGUGGGCCCGAGUCCAGAUUGGAUGUAUGUGUUAAGGAAAGAGAUGGAGAAGCAGAGAGAAGAAUGGCUGAAGGAGGACAGCCUGAGGCGCACUCAGGAAACCAAGAGGUGGAGAAAGGAAGAAGAGAAACAUACGGAGGAGGAGAGGAGGAGGUCGGAUGAACAAACGUUCAUGGCGAAAAGGCUGAAGGAGAUGGAACAAAGGCUCUACGACCUAGAGAAAUCCAAGGAGAGAAUGGAGAGGGAGAGAGCAAAAGAAAGAGAGGAGAUGAUAGGAUUCAAAAGGAUGAUGAAGGCAGAUAUGGAGAUUGAGAAGGAGAGGAUGAGACAGUGGAAAGAAAUGAUGCUGGCAGAUAUGGAGAAAGAGAAGGAGAAGAUGAGACAGUACAAAGAAAUGAUGCAGAGAGAGAGAGAGAGAGAGAACGAAGACAUGAAACAAUAUGAGGCAAUGAUUCAGAGGGAGAGACAGACAGACAGAGAGGAGAUGUGGGAACACAUGGACAAGUUAAAGGAGAGCCAGAGGGCAUUACAGAAGGAACAAGCGCUGUUCGAAGAAGAAAGGACAAAGAUGGAGGAAGAGUGGAGGAAAGAAAAGAAAUGGAUGGCAAAAUGCAUCGAGGAAGAGGAGGCUGAAAAGCUUGAGAUGAAAAGAGCAAUGUGGUGGAUGAGAACCGAAAGAAAUCAGGAAAAACUGCAGCUGAAGGUUUACCAGCAGAGGGAUAUACAGAGGAUGGAAGAGAUGGAGCAGCUGAGGAGAGACUUUAAUGAAACACUGGAUGCACAGAAAGAAAAGAUGGAGAAAGAGUUCAAAGACAGAGAGCUGAGAAUGCAAAAGUGGGAACAGCAAAAAAACGACGACCGACAGAAACUGUGGAAUACUGCGACUGUGAGACUGCAGGAAGAGGAAAGGAUCAGGAAGAAAACUGAGAGGAAGACAAAGAAUCUGGCCAGAGAUAUGUCUUCACAGUAUGGAAACCUGGAGAAAAAACUUUUUACCACGGUGAAAGACUUUGCUGCAGCACUGGAAGAUAUGGAAGGGUGCGCUAACAGUAGAUUAAAGGACGUAGAGGUUAGAGUGAAGGACAUGCAGGAGAAGCUGGAGCAAGACAGUGAAAUGGCAGGCGACAAGUCGGUUGGAUCGACUGAAAAAAAGAGGAAGAAGAAAAUAAUGGGCUUCUUCAGUAGAUGGUUUAAGAAGUAGAUGGUUUUAGAUUUGGGGAAAUCACAUGCUUUUUUAUAAGAUGUUUAAUUAUGUUUAAUAAAAUGUACAGGCACUUAACACCUAGACAAUCUUCUCAAUAAAAAUAAAAUUGUAAAUAUUCAACUACUGCAGUGUGUAAUCAUUACAAACAGACCAAUCAGAUCUCAUUUGUACUGGGAUUUUAUUGCAUGUUAUUAACUGGGAGAUGGUAAAAUCACAUGAACAUAACAGUCUGAUAUCAGUGGGCUGUGGGUGUGAAUGCAGUGAACAUUAUCUAAACACGUAAAAGGAUUAGAUUGAACGCGUGUUUUUAUUUCAGUUUUGAUGUUUUUACUUUAUUCAUAUUUCAGAAUUCCCUCGAAGAAGCCAUGAAUGGUUUUCACUGUUAUUUCACUGCUCAAACUGUCUGAAUAUGUCUGAGCUAACCAGUGCAGGAGAGCAACAUCAUUUAAGCAGUGUCUGGCAAAGCAGUGUGUGUAGUGUCUCUCACUGUCUGUUUAUAAGGGGAUGAAUAUAUUUUACUUUCUGUCCAGAUAUUAACUGGUGCUAUCGUGAUAUUAGCCAAAAAAAUAAACCAUUCUCUUAUGGAUAUACACAAUAAUACAAUGAUAGCAGUAGCUAGUUGAGACUAAACUGACAAGUUAUUAACGGUAGAGCAACACAAUUAAUAAUAAUAAAAAACAACAACGUUCAAUUACUAUUAUUUUUGAUGUGAAAGACACAACAUUUGAAACUAACAAACAAUCAAAUCGAAAGGAAACCCCGUAGUCCCGAUAGUUUUGCACGUUAGCAAUCCUUAGCAUUAACUAGCUGGGACUGCUAGCAAGCUGGAACUAAACGGAGAGGUCAUUAAUAGUACACACAAUCACCACAGAAUGUUAACCAUGAAAUUGACCUCUGUCACGGAAUACACUUACCAAUUUUCAAGUCUUUAAAGUUAGCUGGUAACAAACUUUGAGGAACACCCAAUGGCUUAGCAUCACAUUUCAGCGUAGCAUUUUUCAGGUGUCUGAACUUCAAGUUGAGAUGAUUAAUGAAAAAUAAAUAACUCAUAGAUUUUCACUCUCCAGACUCUGUAUGUCAAGUUAUCCAAUGACGCCAAAAAACAAGCAUGAAACAUAUAGAUAUGAUUAGCCAUAACAUUAUGACCACCUGCCUAAUAUCGUGUUGGUCCCCCUUUGGCUGCCUGACCUGUCGAGGCAUGGACUCCACUAGAUUCCUGAAGGUGUGCUGUGGUAUCUGGCACCAGGAUGUUAGCAGCAGUCCUUUAAUUGUGAGGUGAGACUUGUAUUUGGAGGCCAAGUCGUACCUCAAACUCGUUGUUGUGCUCAAAUCCUUACACUUGCCCAUUUUUCCUGCUUCUAACACAUCAACUUUGAGGACAAAAUGUUCACUUGCUGCCUAAUAUAUCCCACCCACUAACAGGUGCCAUGAUGAGGAGAUCAUCAGUCUUAUUCACUUCACCUCUCACUGUUCAUAAUGUUAUGGCUGAUCGAUGUAUAUCCUUGAGAUCACUGGCAGUGUUGCUUCUUUUUCCCCUUCAUCAUGAGUAUGGUGCAGAUUCAUAUCAAGUAGUGUCAAGGACAUCACAAUUGUAAACCUGAUUAAUUGUUCGAUUGAAUUGCAAGGUGGUGAUCUAUAACUUAAAAAUAAAAAGCAUGUAUAUUGAAUUUAACUGUCUUUUAAAUAAUUCCAGGAAAUCUGGAAGUUGAGUCAACUGGAAUCCUUUCUAUUUAGAUCGAAGUGUUUCACUUCUCAUCCGGAGGGAAGGAUCCUUGAUGCUGGAGGAUACAACUUUGUGGAAUCCUGCCAACUUCCCUCAGACUGAAGAAGCUGCUCGGGGCAGGACCGCAGGGAGAUGUGCAGAGGUGAUGGAUUUCCGCUCACAAUCCACCCGAGACGCUUCACCGACUUGACAUGACCAUAUUCUGGGAUUCGGUGGAUGCGUGAACAUAUACACAGAGCGAUCUGAGGGGGCCAAGCACCUGAGUUUAACUUCACACACCUGCAACAGAAUCUGGACGACAAAAAUACACCCAGCUGUUUAUCCACGCUCCGACUCUCUACUUUGCCACCGGCUCGACGAUUCCAUCUGUUCUGUAGUGCUGUAGUCAUGCGUGUAUCUGUGGGAGAUCCAUGAGCAAGUGUUAAUGCUACAGAAGGAUCGACCAAAAGCCUGCUAGCAAAACGAAGCUGCAGUAGAUCUUGGAUCGCGACACAG